UGUGUGUGUGUGUGUGUGUGUGUGUGUUUUCUCACCCUGCACCAUUGUGAGCCAGUCUGGUUGGUUGUAGUGCUCCGACGAAAUAGUGAGCGUAUUGAGGAACACCAGAAUGAUCACCAGCCAAUAAAACGGGACAGAUUUCACGGCCAAGCGGCAGUUCCUGCGGCAGAACCUGUUCCAGCGACGCCAGCGCCGACUGCCAAAAACAGGACGUGAGAAAGCCCUGACCAGCUACUGGACACGUGACAGCAGGGUCUGAUCUAGUCUGAUCUCGAACAUGACCCACAGGACGAAGCCCUGUUCCACUGACACGGCGCCGGAGCCCGAACACUUACACGCGUCUCCACCCGUUCUUCACAGACGUCGAGGGGCGUUUUUCUUCUCUGGAUUCGCAGCCACGCCAUAGAAGAGAUGAGUGUGAUGGAGAGCAGCAGGGUGUGAAACUCAAACAGGGAUGGCAUGCAGGAUGUGACAGUGAUGAGGUCAGAGUCUGACGGCGUCCUCCAGGUGUCCUGCUCGUCUUCUCCUGACAACAGCCACCCCACUGGAGGUCAUGCAGUGAACACGGCUUUAGCAUCUUUCACCCAGCCACAUACGACACGCUCCACGCUUAAUCUGAGGCAAGAGAUUACACGAGUCACAGCUCGAGCAGUGAGUCAGAAACACUGAAAUAUCAGACUCAAGCAUAAUGUGAGACAAAGAGGAGAAGGAGAGGAAUCCCUGCUAUAUACAACUGUGUGUGUGUGUGUGCGUGCGCGGGUGUGUGUGUGUGCAUUUGUUUGUUUCUGUGUGUGUGUGCGUGCGUGCUUGCAUGUGUGUGUGUGCGCUUGUGUGUGUGUUUGUGUGUGUGCGUGCGUGUUUGUGUGUGUGUGCGUGUGUGUGUGUGUGUGUGCGUGCGUGCGUGCGUGUGUGUUUGUGUCCACAGUCAGAAGAAAAGCUUAGAGAACUGAAGGCCGGGCCAAUGAGAUUAAUUUCAGCCGAGGACGUCAUGUGGGGGAAAUUUAAAGAAAAAGUGUCUCCACAAACCCCCUGGUGCCUGGUUCUCUCAGCACAUCCUCAUCUGUGGAAGAGAACUUCAGCGAGGUAGAGGGUGAGGAAGGAGACCUGCUAGGACCAAGACGUCCAGUCCCAAGAUGAAACAGAACAAGCAUCCAAGUGAGCUCUGUGGGCUGAAACUGUCAAAUCCUCCCAAGGUUUACAGGAGAUAUCUACAGUACAUCCAGGAGAUGUUUACAGGAGAUAUCUACAUCCAGGAGAUGUUUACAGGAGAUAUCUACAUCCAGGAGAUGUUUACAGGAGAUAUCUACAUCCAGGAGAUGUUUACAGGAGAUAUCUACAUCCUGAAGAUGUUUACAGGAGAUAUCUACAUCCUGAAGAUGUUUACAGGAGAUAUCUACAUCCUGAAGAUGUUUACAGGAGAUAUCUACAUCCAGGAGAUGUUUACAGGAGAUAUCUACAUCCAGGAGAUGUUUACAGGAGAUAUCUACAUCCAGGAGAUGUUUACAGGAGAUAUCUACAUCCAGGGCAGGACUGCAGGAUGUUUUCCAGAACAACAGCAAGGUUCUGAGAUUCAGUUUCAGGUGAUGAGUUGACAUUCAUGAUAAGAUCAUGACACCGGCGUAGGUUAUGAUUAGAAAAUUGAGGGUUUACUUGAUGUUCCAAAUGAGAUGAGAGCAUUAGAGAAGGUUUUAGUGAGAUCUGAUCUAAGCACAAUGGUUCAUGCUUUAAACUCUAGCUUUUUACAUUCUACAGGUAGGUUACAGACUUAGGAUAGAGGACAGACCUUUUUUUUUUUAAUUAUGAAACAGGGAAAGGUUGUCAUUGUAACUUCAUAUCUGUUUUUAUUGCACUCUAUUUAAACCUCCAUAUGUAAGGAACAAGGAGGAAAGACAGAUAACAGUGAAAUGGGAAAAGGUCCAGUAAAGUCAGGUAAGAGCUGAUAAUCAGAGAGUGGCUUUCCCUGAGCAACACAGACCCAGGGAUGGAGUGGGAGUGUUCUUUCUGAUGAUGAUGAUGAUGAUGAUGAUAAUAAUAAUAAUAAUAAUAAUAAUAAUAAUAAUAAUAAUAAUAAUAAUAACAACAGGGCGGCACAGUGGCUUAGUGGUUAGCACGUUCGCCUCACACCACCAGGGUCGGAGGUUCGAUUCCCGCCUCCGCCUUGUGUGUGUGGAGUUUGCAUGUUCUCCCUGUGCCUCGGGGGUCUCCUCCGGGUACUCCGGUUUCCUCCCCCGGUCCAAAGACAUGCAUGUUAGGUUGAUUGGCAUCUCUGGAAAAUUGUCCGUAGUGUGUGAGUGUGUGUGUGUGAAUGAGAGUGUGUGUGUGUGUGUCCUGCGAUGGGUUGGCACUCCGUCCAGGGUGUAUCCUGCCUCGAUGCCCGAUGAUGCCUGAGAUAGGCACAGGCUCCCUGUGACCCGAGAAGUUCGGAUAAGCGGUAGUGAAUGAAUGAAUGAAUGAAUGAAUAAUAAUAAUAAUAAUAAUAAUAAUGGCUUGCUCAGGCUCGAUGGGAACACAAAAUAAGUACCUACAGAGAAAUGACUUUAUUAGUAAUAACCUAGCUAAUAAACAGGAAUAAGAGAAUAAAAUACAGGACGCGGCGGUGUGACUGACCCAGUACAGCACAUCUGUCCAACCCUCCAUAGUGAUACACUGGAACACCGUCAGCAUCGCAAACAGGAAGUUGUCGAAGUUGGUGAUGCCGCCGUUGGGACCCUGCCAGCCUUCUCUGCACACCGUAUUGUUCAGGAGGCAGGUUCGGCCAUGACCGUUUAUUGCACAGGGAGCCGGGUCGUCCACCGCCAUUAUAGCUACACACACACACACACACACACACACACACACACACACACACACACACACCUGUAUAGUUAAAAAUAUCUGUCAGUCGAUCCAUCAUUCUGUUGUGUAUUAAUGUAGCGCACAUUACAGCAUCAUUGUUCUGUUCUAUAAAUAACCCCAUGCGGUCACUACAAUAACGUGUGAGUGGAAGUUAAACUGGACUCAACACCGCAUCAGGUCUAAAUCUGAAACUCACCCGUCCCGGAAACAUAACAGGUCGCGUGCAUUUUGCCGAGGAAGAGCUCAAGGCCAAUGAUGGCAUAGAUGAUGAUGACGAAGAGGACCAGCAGAGCAAUGUGAAGAAGAGGAACCAUGGCUUUAAUGAUAGAGUUCAACACUACCUGUAAACCUGCAGGUAUAAACAAACAAACACACACACACAAACACGCACGUCGGGUUAAUUAGCGGCCAUGUUGUCUGUAAUUGUAGCGAUGACAUAAAAUAUCCAGUGUUGCAGAGUUAUCAGCUAAAUGUACACGUAAUAAACAGGCAACUCGGUUGUUUUCAUUUCAUCCGAGAUGAGAAGAGACCCUGGGGGCAGACCGACACAGGGACCCGACUUUUCUUUACUUCUUCUUUGUUUGAUUUAAAAUAAAUGUUUUCAGUAUAUUUAGUGUUUAUUGUGUAUCGCUGUAAUUGUGUGUAUUUCGACUGAGAUUUUUUUCAGGGAAGUUCACAUGUUCACAAACGGCGUAGACGGCAGCGUGUUCCGCUGCUCGGAGUUUAACAGCUUGUUCGGUGUGAACGCUCCUGGGGACACGAGCGAGAGCUGCCAUAUGGUCACCCUAUGAAGGGUUCGUGCGGUGUGGGACGGCCAGCAUAACGGUGUAACGUCCCACGACCGCCGUCACCCGCAUUCAGCGCAAAUCAUUUCAAACAAGAGAUACACGAAUCAGCGGGAAACUGUAACGCAGGUAAAGUGUAAAAAAAAGCGCAGAUCUUUAAUGAGAACAGAAUAAGCUACAAAGGUCACUUACUAGGAACUCCUGAGACCAGGCGAAGGGGUCGCAGCACCCUGAAGGCCCGCAACGCUUUGACGUCGAAGCCUCCUGGUUUGCCUCCGUGGCCGUGCGCGGGGGAGGGGCUUCCUGCACCGUGCUGAGCCCCUUCUUUGGUCAGAACUUCUAGAACAACACUGAACAGACUGCAGAAACACAGUAUGCAAAAAAAUACUAGUGCUGACACGAGGGAAGAAGGGAUCAGAGGAAAAGAGGAAGAGGAGAAGAGUAGAAGGAAUGACAAAAAGCAAUUACACAAUGUCAAUACAAAGAAGGAAAGAGGAAGAGGGAAAAGAAGUAAAAAAAACAAAAAAACGAGUGAUGAGGAACAGAUCAUUAUUCCAAAGAGGUGAGUAUGGAAAGAUGGUGAGUCAUUCUAUCAGAGAGGAGACGUGAUGUUAUUCCUCCUGUCUUUUCUGGGUCAUAGAGCUGCUUGAAGUGGUGUGUGUGUGUGUGUGUGUGUGUGUGUGUGUGUGUGUGUGUGUGUGUGUGUGUGUCU